CCUACGGGUGGCAGCAGUGGGGAAUAUUGGACAAUGGGGGGAACCCUGAUCCAGCCAUGCCGCGUGUGUGAAGAAUGCCCUCGGGUUGUAAAGCACUUUCAGUGAGGAAGAACGCCUGGUGGUUAAUACCCAUCAGGAAAGACAUCACUCACAGAAGAAGCACCGGCUAACUCCGUGCCAGCAGCCGCGGUAAUACGGAGGGUGCGAGCGUUAAUCGGAAUUACUGGGCGUAAAGCGCGCGUAGGUGGCUUGAUAAGCCGGUUGUGAAAGCCCCGGGCUCAACCUGGGAACGGCAUCCGGAACUGUCAAGCUAGAGUGCAGGAGAGGAAGGUAGAAUUCCCGGUGUAGCGGUGAAAUGCGUAGAGAUCGGGAGGAAUACCAGUGGCGAAGGCGGCCUUCUGGACUGACACUGACACUGAGGUGCGAAAGCGUGGGUAGCAAACAGGAUUAGAUACCCUUGUAGUC
rnacentral:rRNA from 1 species